rnacentral:rRNA from 1 species
AUGGGAUGUAAUAGUCGAGAAAAUAAGGCUGCGCCAGAGCAAAAAAUAACUACUUUAUCCAGUAAAAAGAAGUGCUUUGCUUGUAAAGAGACAUCACACAAUUUGGAUCAAUGCAGGAUAAAAGACAAACUGGGUACUGCAGCCCAGCUAUUUGGACAUUCUACAAGGUUUCCAUUCUACAUGAUUCAGCCUUCAAAGGAAGUUGUCGAAAAUGAAAAGUUCUACUAUCACUGCCUGCUGAUCACAUCUAAUGCCUGUAACUUGGACCCGGCAGCAGUGAAAAUUGAACUAAACAAGUUCUGGAAGCUGACUGAUGAUUGGUAUAUAAAGAGAGAAGGUAGACAGAAUUUCGUAGCAUCCUUCAACUCAGAGGAUGACCUACUAAGCUGUUUAAAUCCUCCCAAUAUAGAAACAUUUCUGGAUGAAAAGGAGGUGAAUUUUACUGUAGCAAGGUGGGAUGAAGGUGAUGGGGAGAAACUUGACUUGAUCAGAGAGUGGCUUUUGGUCUAUGGGGUCCCAGGUGCAUAUAGAAACUGGAAGGAGCUAUAUCAAGUUGCAUCUGCAGUUGGAGUUUUGCUUGAGGUGGAUGAGGAAAGUUUGGAAAGCGGAGAUAAGGAGCCUAUUAGGUUGAGGAUAGCAUUGGGAAGUCUUGUUGGUGCUCCUUUCUCUUACCACUUUGUGUUUGGAUGGUCAUCUAGACUAGUCAAGUUCAUGAUUGAAGACAAAGCAAGAAGGAUAGAAGGGCAAUGGAAGGAAGUAGAAGAACGGAAGGUCAGCGUCAUGAAGGAAUAUGCAGAUAUAAGAGAAGAAGGUAUUGAGGUACCUCCAGAAACACCGAAUAAAAGAAUGGAUUUAGAGGGCACUGGAAUUGAUUUCGCGGGCAAUUAUUCUUUGGAUUUUGGAACUUGCUCACGCAAGGAAUGUAAAGAACUGAAAACCACAGAACGAAAUGGUAACAUCAUGAAGGAAUAUGCAGAUAUAAGAGAAGAAGGUAUUGAGGUACCUGCAGAAACACUGAAUGAAGGAAUGGAUUUGGAGGGCACUGAAGUAGAUUUCGCAGGCAAUUAUUCUUUGGAUUUCAGAAGUUGCUCAGGCAAGGAAUGUAAAGAAGAACUGAAAACCACAGAAGGGAAUGGUAGCGUCAUGAUGGAAUAUGCAGAUAUAAGAGAAGAAGGUAUUGAGGUACCUGCAGAAACACUGAAUGAAGGAAUGGAUUUAGAGGGCACUGGAGUAGAUUUCACAUGCAAUUAUUCUUUGGAUUUCAGAAGUUGCUCAGGCAAGGAAUGUAAAGAAGAACCGAAAAUCACAGAAGGGAAUGGUAGCGUCAUGAUGGAAUAUGCAGAUAUAAGAGAAGAGGGUAUUGAGGUACCUCCAGAAACACUGAAUAAAGGAAUGGAUUUAGAGGGCACUGGAGUAGAUUUCGCAGGCAAUUAUUCUUUGGAUUUCGGAAGUUGCCCAGGCAAGGAAUGUAAAGAAGAACUGAAAACCACAGAACGGAAUGGUAGUGUCAUGAAGGAAUAUGCAGAUAUAAGAGAAGAAGGUAUUGAGGUACCUCUAGAAACACUGAAUAAAGGAAUGGAUUUAGAGGGCACUGGAGUAGAUUUCGCAGGCAAUUAUUCUUUGGAUUUUGGAAGUUGCUUAGGCAAGGAAUGUAAAGAAGAACCGAAGACCACAGAAACAGGUACAUUGCUGGAAGUAGCAAAGUUCAUUCCAGAGUUAAGAGCUGAUGAAGAGAUCGAGGAAAACAGCAUAAGUGCUAUGGCAGCCACCACAACAAACUCGAAGAAAGCAGCAGAAGGGGGGCAAUCCCCAAGUGAAAGCUCGGCAAGAGGUGAUCAUAUGUCGGGUUUGGAAGAUUGUUCUGACAAGAAACAUCAAAAGAAACUGAUGGCCUGCGACAUGGCUACAUUUCUGCAAGUGUCGAAGUUCACUGAAGAGUUUAAAACUGAUGGAGAGAUCAAAGAAAACAAUGCAAGUGCUAUAGUGGGCACCAGAACGAACUCUGAGGGAGCUACAGAAGACAUUCCAAAAGCUAUAGAAGACAUGGCUACGUUGCUGCAAGCGUCGAAGUUCACUGAAGAGUUAAGAACUGAUAGAGAGAUCAAAGAAAACAAUGCAAGUGCUAUACUGGGCACCAGAACGAACUCCGAGAGAGCUACAGAAGACAUUACAAAAGCUACAGAAGACAUGGCUACAUCGCUGCAAGUGUCGAAGUUCACUGAAGAGUUAAGAACUAAUGGAGAGAUCAAAGAAAACAAUGCAAGUGCUAUAGUGGAUACCAGAACGAACUCGGAGAGAGCUACAGAAGACGUUCCAAAAGCUGAAGGUGGGCAAUCCAUAAGUGGAAGUUCAACUUCGACAAGCUUGAUUGAAGAGGUCUUCAGAGGUCACAAGCCAUCUAUAAAAAAUGUGUACACAAGAAGAGAUCGGAAGCAAAAAAAAUCGACAGAAGGUUCCACUUUGUGUGCUAACAUCAGUUCUGACAGUGCCCAUGAAGGUUUACAGAAGCCACCUAUAAAAACUAUGUACGAGGGAAGUGAUCCCAAGCAAAAAGGAUCCACAGGGGGGCAAGUUGCUUCAAAGGAACUGAACAAAGGAAUAAACCCAGGGAGCAGCAGUCACGCCACAAGGAUUGCAACCUCAACAUGCAAUAUGUUGGACUCAGAAAGUUUAUUGGAAAAGGAACACGAGAAAGAAAUGAAAAUGGCAGAAACAGCAGCAAAGACUGUGGGAGCUGAAGGAGCACAAUCUAUCAAGGGAAGUUCAGCAUGCAUGCUUAGAGUAACUCAGACAAAAGGUGUUGACAUGGCUGGAACGACACCAGAAGGAGCUUGGUUUGAUGGAAAGCAGCCUGUUUCUAAGAUGACUACGCGGCUAACUCAAUUUUACGAGGAGUUCAACACAUACAAUGAAAUCUAUGACAGUUUCGUUGAGAUGGGUCUUCAAGAAAAUCUGCUGAAAGGAAUAUAUGCAUAUGGCCUGGAGAAGCCUUCUUUAGUCCAUCAACGAGGAAUUGUCCCAUUGUGCAAGGGUCUGGAUGUUAUCCAGCAGUCACUGUCUGGAACAACUGUGACACUUGCCUGUGGAGUUCUCCAGCGACUCGAUUAUGGAUCCACGGAAUGCCAAGCUUUGGUUCUUGUGCCAACGCGUGACUUGGCACAGGAGACCGAGAAAGUUAUUGGAGCACUUGGUCAGUGGCUAGGUGUCAAAGCUCAUGCUUGUCUUGGAGGAACUAGUGUUCGUGAGCACAAGCAAAUUUUGUCCAGCAGCACCCAGGUUAUUGUCGCUACUCCUAGCCGCGCUCUGGACAUGCUGAGAACACGAGCGCUCUGUCCAGAUAACGUCAGAAUGUUUGUCUUGGAUGAAGCAGAUGAAAUACUCGCAGGAGGUUUGAAGAACCAGAUCUAUGAUAUUAUCCAGCUUCUCCCAGCCAAAAUCCAGUUUGCUGUAUUCUCUGCCACCAUGUCCAAUGAAGCUCUCGAACUUUGCCGGAAGUGCAUGAAUAAGCCUAUGAAGAUCAUAGUGCCGAAAGAUGAAGAAUUGGAGGGUUUUAGUGUUAAGCAGUUCCAUGUUAAAGCUGAGGAUGAAGAGUUGAAGUUUGAAAAAUUAUGUGAUCUUUUUGACACCAUGGCGGUCACGCAAAACAUCAUCUUUGUCAACGCACGUCGGAAGGUUGAGUCACUGGCCGAAAAGAUCAGUGGCAGGGGGUACACCGUCUCGGCAAGCCAUGGUGGUAUGGACCAGCACGCCAGAGAUGUUGCCGUCCAGGAUCUCCGGUCGGGAUCAUCUCGUGUCCUCGUCACCACCGACCUUCGUGGCGCCGACGCAUUGCAGGUCCCUGUUGUCAUCAACUAUGAUCUGCCAACACAACCAGUACAAUACCUUCGUCAUGUUCGACGAAGUGGACAGCCUGGAGGGACUGGUGUCGCUAUCAGCUUCGUUGCUCGUGCUGAUGAGCGUGUCCUGUCUGACAUCCAAAGGUUCUGCAGUACUCAGUUGGCAGAGUUACCCUCCGACGUCGCUGACCUCUUGUGA